CAAGACGUAGCUACAACAAAAAGCAUUCAGCUUACACCUGAAAGACACCCGCCACUAACCGGGUCGUCUUGA
rnacentral:tRNA from 1 species